rnacentral:rRNA from 1 species
ACUCCUACGGGAGGCAGCAGUAGGGAAUCUUCCGCAAUGGACGAAAGUCUGACGGAGCAACGCCGCGUGAGUGAAGAAGGUUUUCGGAUCGUAAAGCUCUGUUGUUAAGGAAGAACACCAUGGAUAGGAAAUGAUCGAUGGAUGACGGUACUUAACCAGAAAGCCACGGCUAACUACGUGCCAGCAGCCGCGGUAAUACGUAGGUGGCAAGCGUUAUCCGGAAUUAUUGGGCGUAAAGCGCGCGUAGGCGGUUUCUUAAGUCUAAUGUGAAAGCCCCCGGCUCAACCGGGGAGGGUCAUUGGAAACUGGGGAACUUGAGUACAGAAGAGGAGAGUGGAAUUCCAUGUGUAGCGGUGAAAUGCGCAGAGAUAUGGAGGAACACCAGUGGCGAAGGCGGCUCUCUGGUCUGCAACUGACGCUGAGGUGCGAAAGCGUGGGGAUCAAACAGGAUUAGAUACCCUGGUAGUCCACGCUGUAAACGAUGAGUGCUAAGUGUUAGGGGGUUUCCGCCCCUUAGUGCUGCAGUAAACGCAUUAAGCACUCCGCCUGGGGAGUACGGCCGCAAGGUUGAAACUCAAAGGAAUUGACGG